AUUGAACGCUGGCGGCAUGCCUUACACAUGCCAGUCGAACGGCAGCAUGAUCUAGCUUGCUAGAUUGAUGGCGAGUGGCGAACGGGUGAGUAAUACAUCGGAACGUGCCCUGUAGUGGGGGAUAACUAGUCGAAAGAUUAGCUAAUACCGCAUACGACCUGAGGGUGAAAGUGGGGGACCGCAAGGCCUCAUGCUAUAGGAGCGGCCGAUGUCUGAUUAGCUAGUUGGUGAGGUAAAGGCUCACCAAGGCGACGAUCAGUAGCUGGUCUGAGAGGACGAUCAGCCACACUGGGACUGAGACACGGCCCCGACUCCUACGGGAGGCAGCAGUGGGGAAUUUUGGACAAUGGGCGAAAGCCUGAUCCAGCAAUGCCGCGUGUGUGAAGAAGGCCUUCGGGUUGUAAAGCACUUUUGUCCGGAAAGAAAUGGCUCUGGUUAAUACCUGGGGUCGAUGACGGUACCGGAAGAAUAAGGACCGGCUAACUACGUG
rnacentral:rRNA from 1 species